rfam:Smittium culicis strain GSMNP scaffold-3905, whole genome shotgun sequence.
GCCCCCGUGGCCAAGUGGAUAAGGUGUCUGCCUCCUAAGCAGAAGAUCCCGGGUUCAAAUCCCGGCUGGGGUU